rnacentral:ribozyme from 1 species
UUUUUUUUUUUUUUUUUUUUUUUUUUCAAAUGAA